AAUAUAACCUCGGGAAACUGAGGAUAAUAUUCCAUAGUUGAAUCGGCUUGGAAAAGUUUUUCAAUAAAAGGGAUAAAGAAAAUGGUCUUUAUCUGCUAUAGGAUAGGAUCGUGCUCGAUUAUGGUUGUUGGUGAGGUAAUGGCUCACCAAGCCGAUAAUCGAUAGGGGCCGUGAGAGCGGGAGCCCCGAGAUGGGUACUGAGACAACGACCCAGGCCUUACGAGGCGCAGCAGGCGCGGAACCUCCGCAAUAUACGAAAGUGUGACGGGGUUACCCAAAGUGUUCUAUUUAGAACUGUGGUAGGUGAGUAAUGUCCCCUACUAGAAAGGAGAGGGCAAGGCUGGUGCCAGCCGCCGCGGUAAAACCAGCUCUUCAAGUGGUCGGGAUAAUUAUUGGGCUUAAAGUGUCCGUAGCCGGUUUAGUAAGUUCCUGGUAAAAUCGGGUAGCUUAACUAUCUGUAUGCUAGGAAUACUGCAAUGCUAGAGGGCGGGAGAG
rnacentral:rRNA from 1 species